rnacentral:rRNA from 1 species
AUACGUAGGAUCCGAGCGUUGUCCGGAUUUACUGGGCGUAAAGGGUGCGUAGGCGGCGUGGUAAGUCUCAUGUGAAAUCUCCCGGCUCAACUGGGAGGGGUCAUGGGAUACUGCCAUGCUCGAGGGCAGUAGAGGAGAGCGGAAUUCCGGGAGUAGCGGUGAUAUGCGUAGAUACCCGGAGGAACACCCGUGGCGAAAGCGGCUCUCUAGGCUGUACCUGACGCUAAGGCACGAAAGCGUGGGGAGCAAACCGGAUUAGAUACCCUAGUAGUCC